UUCCCUCUCAGGUCCCCUCCGGGCUCCAUCCUUGGCAUGAGGCUCAGGGGGCUCAGCCUGGGGGUGGCCUCGUGCUCUUCCUUCACCCAGGGACCCUUCCAUGAGCCCCCAUGAGCCCUCAAACACCCCCAGGCCUGAUGGGCUUCAUCCUCUGGAUUCACCCACUUCAUCCCACCUUGAUCCCAGCUUGGUCCCAGCUCUAUCCCACCUUCAUCCCACCUUUUCAUCCCAACUUCAGCCUACCUUCAUCCCACCUCCUGUCUAUACUCAGCAUUCCUUCAUCCCACCUUGAUCCCACCUCCAACCCACCUUCAUCCGCCCUUCAGCUGACCUCCACCUCAUCCUAAAUUCUCUCCCCACUUUCUCUUCCCUGCCAGUGACACCACGAAUGUGACAAAUUCAUUGGACGAGUUCAUGUGCCUCUGCAUCAACAACACUAAAGAAAAUGCAACACACUGCAACAUGCUCUGCAUCUGCAUGUCGGUGACAGUGGAUGGUGGGACCUACCAUGUACAUAGUGAUGGAAAAACAUCCACCUUCGAAGUCGAGAAAUCCAUGAAGCUGAAAGAGCUCACGUCGACCUGCAAGGCCCAGAACUGCUCACACGAGUCCUGCAAGUGCGGCCUGACCUCCUCCUCCGCCCUGGCUAAGCUGAAACGGCUGAACUGCAUGACACCGAACUCCGUCAAAAGUGAGAGCAUCACUGUCACCACCCCCAGGGUUGUCACCACCCCUGGCAUUGUCACCACCCCCAGGGUGCUCCCCAACGGUGAGAGCUGGGGACAGAAGGAGGAAAGGUGGGGUGGGCUGAUGCCGCUCCUCUGAGGAACAUGGGAAUGUUGAGGUUGGGNUCCAAGGCCAGGCUGGACAGGGCUUGGAGCAGCCUGGGCUGGUGGGAGCUUUAAGGCCCCUUCCCACCCAAACCAUUCCAGGAUUUGGGCUCAGCCUUGCUCCUCAGGGAUGCCCUGGAGGCCCCAAUCCAUUGCCUGUGUCCCAGAGGUGGCUGAGGCUGAGGGAGCCAGAAAUCCCAAGCCCAAUCUGGAAAUGGAGCCAGGACCAGUUCCCUGUUGGGAAAACUGGGAUGGAGAACUCUAUUCCCGGUAUAAAUGGAAUGACAUGGUUAAUUUGAGAUGGGAAGUUGUGAAAAUAACAAAAACAACUCCUUCCUCCUUAAAUUGGUGAGCCAAGGGCAUGGUGUGGUCGCUGGAGGGAAGGGAUGAGAUCCUGGACCUUAUCCUGGGCUGCAUCCAAAGGAGGGUAGGAGGGUUCUCAUCUCUGGAAUGGUGAGAGUCCACCUGGAAUGGUGAGAUCCCAUCUGGAAUGAUGGGAAUCCACCUGGAAUGGUGAGAUCCCACCAUGACAUUCUCUGGGAUAACUCUCUCCAACCCCUGAGCCAUUUGUCACACACGGCCACGGUGACACUCUUGGUCCCACCCUCAUCUUUCCUUGGGAACGGGGUUGGGCUCUGUUUUAAACACCUCAAAUUUUCCUUCUUUUUCCUUGAAAACAGAGUGGGUUUUUUUUUAACGCCUCAAAUUUACGUUUGAGUGUAAAUUGCUCCUCCUUGAUGCUGCAUUUUUGUCACAAACCACGUCUAAAGCCACUUCCCCUCCACCCAGGCACUGGAAAACCACCCAGGUGCUCUUCCUCUUUGUGGUGCUCAUUUUUGGGGGCUGCUGCCCCAAAUCCUCUCUGUUUCUGGACAUCCAUGGACAUAGUUUGGAUUGCUCGUCUCACCAUCCUCAUCCUCCUCCACCAAACCAGUGAGUGCCGGGUGUUCCUUGUCCCAUGGGGAUGAGAUUUUGGGGUGGUUUUGUGGUUUUUG
ensembl:lncRNA